rnacentral:rRNA from 1 species
GAUGAACGCUGGCGGCGUGCUUAACACAUGCAAGUCGAACGAUGAAGCCGGAGCUUGCUCUGGUGAAUUAGUGGCGAACGGGUGAGUAACACGUGAGUAACCUGCCCUUGACUCUGGGAUAAGCGUUGGAAACGACGUCUAAUACCGGAUACGACCUUCGGAGGCAUCUCCUGGGGGUGGAAAGAAUUUCGGUCAAGGAUGGACUCGCGGCCUAUCGGCUAGUUGGUGAGGUAAUGGCUCGCCAAGGCGACGACGGGUAGCCGGCCUGAGAGGGUGACCGGCCACACUGGGACUGAGACACGGCCCAGACUCCUACGGGAGGCAGCAGUGGGGGAUAUUGCACAAUGGGCGCAAGCCUGAUGCAGCAACGCCGCGUGAGGGACGACGGCCUUCGGGUUGUAAACCUCUUUUAGUAGGGAAGAAGCGAAAGUGACGGUACCUGCAGAAAAAGCACCGGCUAACUACGUGCCAGCCGCCGCCGUAAAAC